AAUGGGUCAGCGACUUAUAUUCUGUAGCAAGGUUAACCGAAUAGGGGAGCCGAAGGGAAACCGAGUCUUAACUGGGCGUUAAGUUGCAGGGUAUAGACCCGAAACCCGGUGAUCUAGCCAUGGGCAGGUUGAAGGUUGGGUAACACUAACUGGAGGACCGAACCGACUAAUGUUGAAAAAUUAGCGGAUGACUUGUGGCUGGGGGUGAAAGGCCAAUCAAACCGGGAGAUAGCUGGUUCUCCCCGAAAGCUAUUUAGGUAGCGCCUCGUGAAUUCAUCUCCGGGGGUAGAGCACUGUUUCGGCAAGGGGGUCAUCCCGACUUACCAACCCGAUGCAAACUGCGAAUACCGGAGAAUGUUAUCACGGGAGACACACGGCGGGUGCUAACGUCCGUCGUGAAGAGGGAAACAACCCAGACCGCCAGCUAAGGUCCCAAAGUCAUGGUUAAGUGGGAAACGAUGUGGGAAGGCCCAGACAGCCAGGAUGUUGGCUUAGAAGCAGCCAUCAUUUAAAGAAAGCGUAAUAGCUCACUGGUCGAGUCGGCCUGCGCGGAAGAUGUAACGGGGCUAAACCAUGCACCGAAGCUGCGGCAGCGACGCUUAUGCGUUGUUGGGUAGGGGAGCGUUCUGUAAGCCUGUGAAGGUGUGCUGUGAGGCAUGCUGGAGGUAUCAGAAGUGCGAAUGCUGACAUAAGUAACGAUAAAGCGGGUGAAAAGCCCGCUCGCCGGAAGACCAAGGGUUCCUGUCCAACGUUAAUCGGGGCAGGGUGAGUCGACCCCUAAGGCGAGGCCGAAAGGCGUAGUCGAUGGGAAACAGGUUAAUAUUCCUGUACUUGGUGUUACUGCGAAGGGGGGACGGAGAAGGCUAUGUUGGCCGGGCGACGGUUGUCCCGGUUUAAGCGUGUAGGCUGGUUUUCCAGGCAAAUCCGGAAAAUCAAGGCUGAGGCGUGAUGACGAGGCACUACGGUGCUGAAGCAACAAAUGCCCUGCUUCCAGGAAAAGCCUCUAAGCAUCAGGUAACAUCAAAUCGUACCCCAAACCGACACAGGUGGUCAGGUAGAGAAUACCAAGGCGCUUGAGAGAACUCGGGUGAAGGAACUAGGCAAAAUGGUGCCGUAACUUCGGGAGAAGGCACGCUGAUAUGUAGGUGAAGUCCCUUGCGGAUGGAGCUGAAAUCAGUCGAAGAUACCAGCUGGCUGCAACUGUUUAUUAAAAACACAGCACUGUGCAAACACGAAAGUGGACGUAUACGGUGUGACGCCUGCCCGGUGCCGGAAGGUUAAUUGAUGGGGUCAGCGCA
rnacentral:rRNA from 1 species